CCUACGGGUGGCAGCAGUGAGGAAUAUUGGUCAAUGGGCGAGAGCCUGAACCAGCCAAGUCGCGUGAAGGAUGAAGGAUCUAUGGUUUGUAAACUUCUUUUAUAUGGGAAUAAAGUGAGGAACGUGUUCCUUUUUGUAUUUACCAUAUGAAUAAGCGUCGGCUAACUCCGUGCCAGCGGCCGCGGUAAUACGGAGGAUGCGAGCGUUAUCCGGAUUUGAUGGGUUUAAAGGGUGCGUAGGUGGUUAAUUAAGUCAGCGGUGAAAGGUUGUGGCUCAACCAUAAAAUUGCCGUUGAAACUGGUUGACUUGAGUAUAUUUGAGGUAGGCGGAAUGCGUGGUGUAGCGGUGAAAUGCAUAGAUAUCACGCAGAACUCCGAUUGCGAAGGCAGCUUACUAAACUAUAACUGACACUGAAGCACGAAAGCGUGGGGAUCAAACAGGAUUAGAUACCCGGGUAGUC
rnacentral:rRNA from 1 species